rnacentral:rRNA from 1 species
GGAAGGGGUGUAUUUAUUAGAUUAAAAACCAAUGCCCCUCGGGGCUCUCUGGUGAAUCAUGAUAACUAGUCGAAUCGACAGGCCUUGUGCCGGCGAUGGCUCAUUCAAAUUUCUUCCCUAUCAACUUUCGAUGUUUGGGUCUUGUCCAAACAUGGUGGCAACGGGUAACGGAGGGUUAGGGCUCGACCCCGGAGAAGGAGCCUGAGAAACGGCUACUACAUCCAAGGAAGGCAGCAGGCGCGCAAAUUACCCAAUCCCGACACGGGGAGGUAGUGACAAUAAAUACUGAUACAGGGCUCUUUUGGGUCUUGUAAUCGGAAUGAGUACAAUUUAAAUCCCUUAACGAGGAACAAUUGGAGGGCAAGUCUGGUGCCAGCAGCCGCGGUAAUUCCAGCUCCAAUAGCGUAUAUUAAAGUUGUUGUGGUUAAAAAGCUCGUAGUUGAACCUUGGGCCUGGCUGGCCGGUCCGCCUCACCGCGUGCACUGGUCCGGCCGGGCCUUUCCCUCUGCGGAACCCCAUGCCCUUCACUGGGUGUGGCGGGGAACCAGGACUUUUAC